rnacentral:rRNA from 1 species
CAGGCUUAACACAUGCAAGUCGAGGGGCAGCAUGGUCUUAGCUUGCUAAGGCCGAUGGCGACCGGCGCACGGGUGAGUAACACGUAUCCAACCUGCCGUCUACUCUUGGACAGCCUUCUGAAAGGAAGAUUAAUACAAGAUGGCAUCAUGAGUCCGCAUGUUCACAUGAUUAAAGGUAUUCCGGUAGACGAUGGGGAUGCGUUCCAUUAGAUAGUAGGCGGGGUAACGGCCCACCUAGUCUUCGAUGGAUAGGGGUUCUGAGAGGAAGGUCCCCCACAUUGGAACUGAGACACGGUCCAAACUCCUACGGGAGGCAGCAGUGAGGAAUAUUGGUCAAUGGGCGAGAGCCUGAACCAGCCAAGUAGCGUGAAGGAUGACUGCCCUAUGGGUUGUAAACUUCUUUUAUAAAGGAAUAAAGUCGGGUAUGGAUACCCGUUUGCAUGUACUUUAUGAAUAAGGAUCGGCUAACUCCGUGCCAGCAGCCGCGGUAAUACGGAGGAUCCGAGCGUUAUCCGGAUUUAUUGGGUUUAAAGGGAGCGUAGAUGGAUGUUUAAGUCAGUUGUGAAAGUUUGCGGCUCAACCGUAAAAUUGCAGUUGAUACUGGAUAUCUUGAGUGCAGUUGAGGCAGGCGGAAUUCGUGGUGUAGCGGUGAAAUGCUUAGAUAUCACGAAGAACUCCGAUUGCGAAGGCAGCCUGCUAAGCUGCAACUGACAUUGAGGCUCGAAAGUGUGGGUAUCAAACAGGAUUAGAUACCCUGGUAGUCCACACGGUAAACGAUGAAUACUCGCUGUUUGCGAUAUACUGCAAGCGGCCAAGCGAAAGCGUUAAGUAUUCCACCUGGGGAGUACGCCGGCAACGGUGAAACUCAAAGGAAUUGACGGGGGCCCGCACAAGCGGAGGAACAUGUGGUUUAAUUCGAUGAUACGCGAGGAACCUUACCCGGGCUUAAAUUGCAGAUGAAUUACGGUGAAAGCCGUAAGCCGCAAGGCAUCUGUGAAGGUGCUGCAUGGUUGUCGUCAGCUCGUGCCGUGAGGUGUCGGCUUAAGUGUCAUAACGAGCGCAACCCUUGUUGUCAGUUACUAACAGGUUCCGCUGAGGACUCUGACAAGACCGCCAUCGUAAGAUGUGAGGAAGGUGGGGAUGACGUCAAAUCAGCACGGCCCUUACGUCCGGGGCUACACACGUGUUACAAUGGGGGGUACAGAGGGCCGCUACCACGCGAGUGGAUGCCAAUCCCCAAAACCUCUCUCAGUUCGGACUGGAGUCUGCAACCCGACUCCACGAAGCUGGAUUCGCUAGUAAUCGCGCAUCAGCCACGGCGCGGUGAAUACGUUCCCGGGCCUUGUACACACCGCCCGUCAAGCCAUGGGAGCCGGGGGUACCUGAAGUGCGUAACCGCGAGGAGCGCCCUAGGGUAAAACUGGUGACUGGGGCUAAG